UAACUAAGGAAGUUGAUUACAUAAAGACAAUGAAAUGCAGCCAGUGAAGCUCAGUAAUGCAGAUUGGUUGACAGGGAAUGCAAACGAAGGAGGUCAUCUACAGACUAUAGAUAAACAAAUCAUUUGCCUUACGUUAUACGCUUGCAGCUACAAGUGUAUGGAUGACAAGUCUGGGUGGCCAUACUCAUGCCUGAGAUUUCCCAAGAUAAAAUAUUUGUCCACAUGUCCAGGAAGUCUGCAGCUACUAUGGUGGGAAAGUCCAACCUGCUCCCUCCAGCCAGUCUUACCCACCCAACACAUGUCAUACUGAUUGUGCACAUCAAACAGAUACAGUCACGUUGUGCAGGAGUGCAAGCUGGUGACUCAACAUCUGGAAACCAUGGACACAUACAGGAAUUGCUCAGAACUCUCUGGGGUCUCUGUGGGUGUCUCAGCUACAUCAGUAGAAGGAAACUGAUGAGAACUGUGGUGCUGGCCCACAUUCACAGCACGUGACUUUCAGGCUCCAGUUUGGCCCUGGUCAGCCUCUCCAGAUAGUGCUGAAGCUUUGGGGAAGGAAAGGAGAUGGAUUCUGGCCAGAUGGACACAAAUCAGGCCAUGUUUCUUGCCCUCAUGGCCAGCAGUCCUUGUGGUUCAGGGACUUCCUGAGUCAGAGCUGGAAUAUUUCUUGGUGUUUAAUGGUUCUCAAUUAUUUUUUCUUCUGUGAAUUUGCCCAAAUCAUAUUUGGGCCCAGGGAAAGCUUUAGCAUCCACAACAUCCUUUGGCAAGUUGUUCCACUGCUAUUAAUACUGUGCUCAAACAUAAGUGAUAGUAAAUACUUCACAUCUUGGCAAACUCUUCCAGGGGGUUGAUGGUUUUAGUAACUAUUCCCACAGAUUUCCUUUGCUUUCUGUCUAUGUAUGUCUAGAUUGAACAUCCAGCCAUUUGUUUCCUAUUAAUGUCUUGUGCAUUCACUAGGAAAAAAAAAAACACCUUACUACAAAAUCUAUGCUCUGAGCAAACUGUAAUCAAGUUUCUCCUUCACUUUCUCUUUAUAAGCUAAAUUAACUGAGUUCCUAAAAUCUCUCCUAAUGAGACAAGCUUUCAAAACUCAAAUAAUUAUCCUGAAUAUGUCUAUGUUUAGACAUAAUUUUCAUUGCUCUGCUGCAUAAAAUAAACUUUGACAGGAAUAAAUAACA
rnacentral:lncRNA from 1 species